rnacentral:rRNA from 1 species
GUGCCAGCAGCCGCGGUAAUACGUAGGGUGCGAGCGUUAAUCGGAAUUACUGGGCGUAAAGCGUGCGCAGGCGGUUUUGUAAGACAGGCGUGAAAUCCCCGGGCUCAACCUGGGAACUGCGCUUGUGACUGCCAGGCUAGAGUACGGCAGAGGGUGGUGGAAUUCCACGUGUAGCGGUGAAAUGCGUAGAGAUGGGGAGGAACACCAGUGGCGAAGGCAGCCGCCUGGGCCGAUACUGACGCUCAUGUGCGAAAGCGUGGGGAGCAAACAGGAUUAGAUACCCUGGUAGUCCACCGCCUAA